UACGAAGGGGGCUAGCGUUGUUCGGAAUCACUGGGCGUAAAGGCUCGUAGGCGGCCAACUAAGUCAGACGUGAAAUCCCCCGGCUUAACCUGGAACUGCGUCUGAUACUGGAAGGCUUGAGUAUGGGAGAGGGAUGUAGAAUUCCAGGUGUAGCGGUGAAAUGCGUAGAUAUAGGAAGGAACACCAGUGGCGAAGGCGACCACCUGGACUGAUACUGACACUGAGGUGCGAAAGCGUGGGGAGCAAACAGG
rnacentral:rRNA from 1 species